ACAAAUAUAGUAUAAAUAAAAAACUGAAUAGUACGAUAUUAGCAAGUAUGGCACAGGCAGACGGAUCAGUAGUCAAAUGGGAUGAAGCCAAGAUUGUUAGGACGGGACACUCACCUUCCAUCGCAAUGGAAAUGGAGAAAAUAGAGAUUUACAGAAGUAAGAUGAGGGACAGAUGCCUAAAUGCAAAAGAUGCAAAAGCAUUACCAACGGCUUGGAAAUAUAAAAUUGAGAAAAAUAUGGGUUUUAAUAAUCCAUAAACAUUUUCAUGUUCUGGAGUUUUUAGUAUUUCAAACUCAAAGUUAUAAAUUUUCUUUUAUUUUAUUGUUAAAUUGAAACGCGAUUUUUAGAUUACAUUUUAUCAUAUAUUUAGUUUAAUUUAUUUAUUAUACAUAAAAGUUGUAAUAAGUUCAAAUUCAAACGAAUUUCGAACGAAUGAUUCCAUUACAACGAAAACUAUUAAAACCUGAAGAUGGCCUAUACGAAUUGGCCGAAAACGUUUGGAAUAAACAAAAAUAACUCGGCAAAAAAUUCAGAUGGACCAUAUUUACGUAGCCGAUCUGACUACGCGCCUAGCGCUACUCGCCCAUAACAACGUAAUAUAUACAGACAAUAUGAUAAGAAGCAAAGCAAGAUUUAAUAACGAAAUGAUCCUGAUUCUGCACAUGUUCUGACGUCUGCAACAGAUACUACUGAAUAUAACAGCGAGCAGCAACGAUGCUCACGACCUAAAAUGGAAGCAAUUGUAUCUGAGGAAACACGGUUUUUCCAAGAGUAAUAUAUCUAACCAUGUACGUAUGGAAAAAUCAAGAACACACAUUAGUUACAUUAUAAGUGCCACUCAUAUGUUAAGUACUCAGUUGUUUAUCCUAUAAUAUAAAACAAGCGCACAAGAAAUGUAUGUUAAUUUGAGACGUUCGUGUAAUAGACGAAGUCAUCAUUGACAGAUUACGAUAAACGACGUAGCAUUUAUAUUUCCAAAGAUUAGCUGGUGAUACAAAGGCAGUUUGCGAGAUAAGAAAUAAAAGAUUAGAGAAGUCAUCUUCCUUUCAUCCUGCCUGUCGACAGAAAACACCUCGAAACUGUUCUGAAAAUUUAGCCUCA